rnacentral:lncRNA from 1 species
UACAAAUAAGUCACGCAGUACACCAGUGCAUGCGCGACAGGUUUUAAACUGUCUUCACAUAUCCUUCCUGUCCUUUCAGAGCCUUAUGAGGAGUAGACUCAGGCUGUCACCUCGACUCGACUGAUGACCUCAAGGAGGAAGGAUGGAUAUGACCCAACGUCACAGGUGAUCCCCACCAGUGAAUGUUCCAGAAGCUUCCAUGGAGCUCUUGGAGACGUGGCUCAUACACAGGACAAAGCUCCUUUGCCGUGGUCAGCUCUGCCUUUAUAUGCAGCCCCUCACUGCCCGCCUAUCUUCACAAUCCAGCGCCCUCUCUAAAUUUCAUGAUUUCAAGGGUUAUCAUCAUCUUUCAUCUUCCAGUUCUUGGAGAUUCUAAAAAGUUGAAUCCAACCAUAUUUGGGAGCACUGGCCUCUCCCCCCGGAAUCUGGAGAUUUGGGGAGAUUUCUAGGAGAGGGAGAUGCGAGAAAUGAGCUAUUCAUGCUUCAAAACGAAGCAGAGAAGAGGCAUGCUGAGUGGAAGGAACAGCAGAUGGAAGUGCCUGGAUGUUGGCAUCCUUGGUUAACAGUCCUAGGGUUUCUAAGCCUCCUCUUCUGUUCCACAUCCAAGCUCCUUGUGGGAUGGGAGGUGACAGCU